rnacentral:misc_RNA from 1 species
AAGUCGUAACAAGGUUUCCGUAGGUGAACCUGCGGAAGGAUCAUUAACACGUAUCCAACGUUAAACCCCCCUGUGAACUGUAUAUCGUGCUCUUGGAUCCCCCAAGUAGAGACUUCUGCCUUCGACUGGGUGACUGCGGAAGCUAACGGUCCAAUCGAGCGCUGGGAUCAGUGGUUUGGUUUCCCCUCAAACCACUUCAAUGAAUGACAGCGUCAUUGAAGUGUGAUGGGGAGGUCGAAUAACGCACGCUAGAGGUCCCCCACGGGCCGGCGUCCAAAUCACCGAGCGCAAGCUCCCCUAAAACCACAUGUCAGCGUAGGCCCUUCUGUCGUGGUUGGGCGUAAAAACGAACAACUGUUAACAAUGGAUAUCUUGGUUCUC